AACCUUUACACUGCACGACAGUGCGAUAGGGGGACUCCGAGUGCGAGGGCAUAGAGCCCUCGCUUUUGUACACCGUAAGGUGGUGUACGAAUAAGAACUGGGCAAGACCGGUGCCAGCCGCCGCGGUAAUACCGGCAGUUCGAGUGAUGGCCGAUUUUAUUGGGCCUAAAGCGUUCGUAGCUGGCCGAUCAAGUCUGUCGGGAAAUCUGCUCGCCUAACGAGCAGGCGUCCGGCGGAAACUGAUCGGCUUGGGACCGGAAGACUCGAGGGGUACGUCCGGGGUAGGAGUGAAAUCCUGUAAUCCUGGACGGACCACCGAUGGCGAAAGCACCUCGAGAGCACGGAUCCGACAGUGAGGAACGAAAGCUGGGGUCUCGAACCGGAUUAGAUACCCGGGUAGUCCCAGCUGUCAACGAUGCUCGCUAGGUAUGGCGCAGGCUACGAGCCUGUGCUAUGCCGUAGCGAAGGCGCUAAGCGGGCCGCCUGGGAAGUACGUUCGCAAGAAUGAAACUUAA
rnacentral:rRNA from 1 species